GAUGAACGCUGGCGGCGUGCCUAAUACAUGCAAGUCGAGCGAACGGAUGAGAAGCUUGCUUCUCUGAUGUUAGCGGCGGACGGGUGAGUAACACGUGGAUAACCUACCUAUAAGACUGGGAUAACUUCGGGAAACCGGAGCUAAUACCGGAUAAUAUUUUGAACCGCAUGGUUCAAAAGUGAAAGACGGUCUUGCUGUCACUUAUAGAUGGAUCCGCGCUGCAUUAGCUAGUUGGUAAGGUAACGGCUUACCAAGGCAACGAUGCAUAGCCGACCUGAGAGGGCGAUCGGCCACACUGGAACUGAGACACGGUCCAGACUCCUACGGGAGGCAGCAGUAGGGAAUCUUCCGCAAUGGGCGAAAGCCUGACGGAGCAACGCCGCGUGAGUGAUGAAGGUCUUCGGAUCGUAAAACUCUGUUAUUAGGGAAGAACAUAUGUGUAAGUAACUGUGCACAUCUUGACGGUACCUAAUCAGAAAGCCACGGCUAACUACGUG
rnacentral:rRNA from 1 species